ncrna:unclassified sequences RAGATH-18 RNA
ACUGUGGAGUGCAUAAAAAAAUGUGAGUAGUAUAUUUAAUUUUAUAAAUUACAAAAGCAUGUACUAUGAAGCAGUAA